UACGAAGGGGGCUAGCGUUGCUCGGAAUUACUGGGCGUAAAGCGCACGUAGGCGGCUUUCUAAGUCGGGGGUGAAAUCCUGGAGCUCAACUCUAGAACUGCCUUCGAUACUGGAAAGCUCGAGUCCGGGAGAGGUGAGUGGAACUGCGAGUGUAGAGGUGAAAUUCGUAGAUAUUCGCAAGAACACCAGUGGCGAAGGCGGCUCACUGGCCCGGUACUGACGCUGAGGUGCGAAAGCGUGGGGAGCAAACAGG
rnacentral:rRNA from 1 species